AUACGUAGGGGACAAGCGUUGUCCGGAAUCACUGGGCGUAAAGGGCGCGUAGGCGGUUUUAUAAGUCAGAUGUGAAAGGUACCGGCUCAACCGGUGACGUGCAUUUGAAACUGUAAGACUUGAGUACUGGAGAGGCAAGUGGAAUUCCUAGUGUAGCGGUGAAAUGCGUAGAUAUUAGGAGGAACACCGGUGGCGAAGGCGGCUUGCUGGACAGAUACUGACGCUGAGGUGCGAAAGCGUGGGGAGCGAACAGGAUUAGAUACCCUGGUAGUCCACGCCGUAAACGAUGAUGACUAGGUGUUGGGGAAACUCAGUGCCGCAGUUAACACAUUAAGUCAUCCGCCUGGGGAGUACGACCGCAAGGUUGAAACUCAAAGGAAUUGACGGGG
rnacentral:rRNA from 1 species